GGGCAAGUGAGACUGUCUCCAAAAAUGUGUAGAUUCCUACCAGGGCUUGCCAAAACAGUUUUGAAAUGCUUUGAGGUCUUGCCCUGCUCUAUCUAGAGCAAAGUUAUAGAAAUUUUGGAAAAUA
rnacentral:snoRNA from 1 species